rnacentral:piRNA from 1 species
UGGUGUCCUUGGCAGAGGCAAAGAUGAGU